AGUGAACGCUGGCGGUAGGCCUAACACAUGCAAGUCGAACGGCAGCACAGUAAGAGCUUGCUCUUACGGGUGGCGAGUGGCGGACGGGUGAGGAAUACAUCGGAAUCUACUUUUUCGUGGGGGAUAACGUAGGGAAACUUACGCUAAUACCGCGUACGACCUACGGGUGAAAGCAGGGGAUCUUCGGACCUUGCGCGAUUGAAUGAGCCGAUGUCGGAUUAGCUAGUUGGCGGGGUAAAGGCCCACCAAGGCGACGAUCCGUAGCUGGUCUGAGAGGAUGAUCAGCCACACUGGAACUGAGACACGGUCCAGACUCCUACGGGAGGCAGCAGUGGGGAAUAUUGGACAAUGGGCGCAAGCCUGAUCCAGCCAUACCGCGUGGGUGAAGAAGGCCUUCGGGUUGUAAAGCCCUUUUGCUGGGAAAGAAAAGCAGCAGGUUAAUACCCCGCUGUUCUGACGGUACCCAAAGAAUAAGCACCGGCUAACUUCGUG
rnacentral:rRNA from 1 species